AGCCAUGCCGCGUGUGUGAAGGAGGCCCCGGGUUGGAAAUCGCGUUCAGAAAGAAGGAAAGGUAGUAGUUGAUACCUGCUAGCUGUGCCGUUACUGACAGAAGAAGCGCCGGCUAACUCCGUGCCAGCAGCCGCGGUAAUACGGAGGAUGCGAGCGUUAAUCGGAAUUACUGGGCGUAAAGCGUACGCAGGCGGUUUGUUAAGCGAGAUGUGAAAGCCCCGGGCUUAACCUGGGAACUGCAUUUCGAACUGGCAGACUAGAGUGUGAUAGAGGGUGGUAGAAUUUCAGGUGUAGCGGUGAAAUGCGUAGAGAUCUGAAGGAAUACCGAUGGCGAAGGCAGCCACCUGGGUCAACACUGACGCUCAUGUACGAAAGCGUGGGGAGCAAACAGGAUUAGAUACCCUGGUAGUCCACGCCGUAAACGAUGUCUACUAGAAGCUGGGCUCUUCGGAGAACUUUUUCAAAGCUAACGCAUUAAGUAGACCGCCUGGGGAGUACGGCCGCAAGGUUAAAACUCAAAUGAAUUGACGGGGGCCCGCACAAGCGGUGGAGCAUGUGGUUUAAUUCGAUGCAACACGAAGAACCUUACCUACACUUGACAUACAGAGAACUUACCAGAGAUGGUUGGGCGCCUUCGGGAACUCUGAUACAGGAGCUGAAUG
rnacentral:rRNA from 1 species